rnacentral:rRNA from 1 species
CCUACGGGAGGCAGCAGUGAGGAAUAUUGGUCAAUGGACGAGAGUCUGAACCAGCCAAGUAGCGUGAAGGAUGACUGCCCUAUGGGUUGUAAACUGCUUUUAUAUGGGACUAAAAUGUUCCAAGUGUGGGAUUUUGUAUGUACCAUAUGAAUAAGGAUCGGCUAAAUCCGUGCCAGCAGCCGCGGUAAUACGGAGGAUCCGAGCGUUAUCCGGAUUUAUUGGGGUUAAAGGGAGCGUAGGUGGAUUGUUAAGUCAGUUGUGAAAGUUUGCGGCUCAACCGUAAAAUUGCAGUUGAAACUGGCAGUCUUGAGUACAGUAGAGGUGUGCGGAAUUCGUGGUGUAGCGGUGAAAUGCUUAGAGAUCACGAAGAACUCCGAUUGCGAAGGCAGUUCACUGGACUGCAACUGACACUGAGGCUCGAAAGUGUGGGUAUCAAACAGGAUUAGAUACCCCAGUAGUC